UGCAGCUCAGGGCGGAGGAGCUGCCACGUCCAAAUGCCCAAUGUAGCAGAAUCGAUGGAUCCGUUUGCCCCAGACAGCGCAAAAUGCCAUACCCAUUGCUUACGGUUGACACACCCAACCCCAGUAGCCAUCAGACUAGGGGUAGAGGUGUGCUUGCCAUCAACAAAAUGGCGACAAAGUAAUGGGUAAUAAUUGAAAAAAUGUGCGACAAUUUGAACUAAAACUGUCACGCUCCAACUCCGACAUACGUCCAGGAUCGGCACAUGACGUUCAGGUGAAAGGAUGCAAGGAAAUACAAACAAGAUACACAAAGGAAUACUAAAACUGUAAAGUCACAAAUAAAGGAUGUUGGUGGGGUCUCUCCCACGAAUUUUUACAACAACUGUACAAUAAAAGCUCAUAACCGUCACUAGGGUAACAUGCAUAUAGGCUCCCAAAAUAUAGGUCUCAAAAUAAUACAAGAAAGGAUAUAGGGGUAACAUAAGCACUCCAAGCUCUGACCUUUGACUACUACCCCAAAAGCUCCUCGUGUAUACACAGAUCUCUCUCCUGCACAAUUGCCCUGUAUACAGUGGGAAUGGUGCACCGAGUAAGGCAACAACCCAAAUAAGCUACGAAACUUGUAUGAGUGACAAUAAUUCAACGUAUGUGAACAAGUCGACGGAUCACAGUUUUGGAACAUCAGUAAUAAAACCAUACUUUAUAAAUCAUACACAACCCACUAGAAAUCUUGAAAGAGUCACACAGAUAUCCAUGGGCCUUUCUAAAUCAAACCACAAAGGUUCUCAAAUCUCUAGUUCAUAAGUACACCUAAAACUAGGACUAGAGCGAUGCAAUUCGACCGAAGCCUACAACUCAUAUGCUUCCACAUUUUAGAUUGCCUCCAAGAAACCAACGAAGAUAGGGGGUGGGAUCUAGGACCAAUAAAUAGAAUCCAAUGAAGAUCGGGUUCCAGACCACCGAAUGGAUCUGAAUAGGAAGAUGGAUUGGUGACCAUUCAACAGAAUUCGACAAAGAUAGGGUUUUAGACCACUAAACGUAACCGAAAGGAAACGGGAUUUCGGAUCACUCAAUGAAAUUCGAAAUGAACACGAUUUAGGACCAUUCAAUGAAAUCGCGUAGGAAGAGGGAUUCCGGAUCACUUAAUGGAAUCCAAAUGAAGCAGGGUACUAGACCACUUAACGGAACACGGUUCAGGAACACUCAACGGAAUUGAGUAGGAUUCUAAAAACAUAUUUUAGAAUGUCUCAAUGAAAUGAGACAUGUCACAAAUUUGAUGCGACAACUCCCCAUGACAAUGGGUUAACGAUCUUCUACUAGCCUUCACGUUUCCUAACCAUUUCAAAUAUGCAUGUCAAACUACAUUUCAUAAAUAGAUCCAUGACAGAUUUAAAAGUAAUAUUCAGUAGAAAACACAUUCAUUUCGUAAAUCCAUGCCAUAUCCACUAAAUAUACUAGCAUGAGAAUUUCAGGAUAACAACCGAUAUCAUAUAUUUAAGUCACUAACCUAGAAUCCGCUCUAUGACACCUAGCACAAGAUCGAUAUGCACAAGUAUGAUCACCGCCUAAAACAAAACACAAGUCUUGUCUCAGAACUUUAUCGAUAAAACACAUAAUUGUAGUUUACACAUGUUCACUACAGUAAUCAAAGAUCAUUUGGGACACGUUGAUCAUAAGUCAACUCUCGGUCAAAAGUCAACGGUAAGGCCAACAACCCUAGUAAUUCAAUCUGGAAUAUUUGCACAUCAGAUUAUGAUCCAUAACUUCUUAAGGGUCUCAUUAUGCUUCUACAAUAACAUACUUAAAAUUUGUAACGAUCCAACGGUUGGAUCUUCACUAAUCGAAAGUUUAAGUAGUGGCCAACUACAAAAUUAGGCUAAAACAUUAGACUUACGUUGAAUGGAUGCCAAAAAUGGAUCUAGGGCAUCAACAUUAGCCUAGAAGGACAUUGUGGGCCACCGUCCAAGCGCCACCACACACGUUGCCGAGCUUCGCCGCAUGCACCGUCACGCAUCCUCACGCACGGGGUUGGGUCGACUGGAAUAUUCUGCUGCCAAGACGAUAUGUUCCAUUAAAUCUAAUGCAAUUUGUCACCAUUUACCUGAUGGCGUAAGGAAUAUUUUAGACAGUUAACAGAAUAUUACCCUUCUUCCUCCUUCCUCCGGUCGUCGACGUCACCGUCCUCCGCCGUCGAACUUGCCGGAAUCUACAAAAUUGGCCAAAAUCUCCGUGAAAUUAACUGGUGAUAUCUAAUAAUGAUCGUAUUUUAGAAAUACAAGCCUUCACAGAAUCACAUUACAUAACAAAGUUUGUACAUAACAUUGCAUACAUACUUUGUGGCAUAAAACCACAGAAGACCACUGGAUCGACUACAUGAAGUUCUAGCAUAAAAUGUGCACGUUGAUCAUCCUAAAGUUUUCCAUUGUAAGGGACACUGGAGGUGAGAAAAUUUCGCGUCGUGUAAUAGUGUUGAGGGAAAGUGAUAGGAUUUUUACCGCCUGCAAAAGUAGGGAUAAAAACACUUAAAAAUGCUAGCGUGAGAACAAGGUAAUUGUAGCAUAAACCGCUCAAGUAAGGUCGUUUCCCAUAGGGAUUGAAUGAAUAACUUGUAUUUAAAUUAAUCCUUAAUUAACUAUUUAAAACAAAGUUUAGAAAAGAUUUAUUUUAUGACUUAAAAUAAUAAAAACGAAUUUUAAUAGAAAUAAUUUAAAGGAUUCAGCAAAAGUAAAAUAAACUAAAGAAAACGGCUUUUGAAAAUCAAAUUGUUAAAAACACUGAGGUUCAGCCGUCACCAUUAACAAUCCUAUGCAAUUUUACCAAUUACUUAUGAAUUUCAACGUACAUCCUUUGAAUGUUAGGUUUUUUCAAUGCAUAUUCUCCUCGUGAUGUUCAAGUAAGAAUGUAUAUCUAACAUGCAAUCCAUUUGUGAUGUUCAAAUAAACAUAAACAUGCAAGAUUCAUUAAGCUCUGUGAAAACCUUUUGAAAAACCAUGCAACCCUUAAGAGCAUGAUGUUUUCCUUGAGUAAAAUUACAAUUAUCAAUCACAAGAAGCCCUCCACAAUUUCAGGUGAUGUUCCAAUAAAAAUUACAUCAAAUUACUUGUCUAAAUACCUUAAUAGUUGUGACGACCCGUCCCAAAUUAUUAUAUAUAUUUUCUCCCCUAGUGUGUAAAGUGAUGAUAUUACUCUCAUUGGCUUAGUGACGUGGAUGUACAUAUGUAAUAUCAAAGUAUUUCCUCGCUGUCGUAAUUAAACCGUACUUGACGUCACGAGCGCUUCGACGUGAGUUAGGGCCGAAUCGGAUUCGUAACGAAAAAGUUACAAUUAAUUGAAUAUGUAAACGGGUAAAUCACGAACCAAUUAUAUUAGCUCCUAUUACCUCUAAACCAAUCAGAUUUUCGGCUUUUAUCUUUCUUUGGGCCAAUUGGAACUCUAUCUUUCUCACGGCGGCCCAAUCAGAAAUAUUAUUUUCUGAUUCUGGCCAAUCACACACACACACAUACACGUACACUCUCUCUUUCCUUCUCGACUCUUCUCAUUUCUUCUUCCUUCUGCACCUGAGACACCCCACACGCAUAAACCACACCAAAACAGCACGGAUGGAACCUACGAAGACUACCAUCACACUCCUCAU
rnacentral:lncRNA from 1 species